UACGUAGGGCGCAAGCGUUAUCCGGAAUUAUUGGGCGUAAAGAGCUCGUAGGCGGCCUGUUGCGUCCGCUGUGAAAUCCCAGGGCUCAACCCCUGGGCGUGCAGUGGAUACGGGCAGGCUGGAGGCAGGCAGGGGAGAACGGAAUUCCCGGUGGUAGCGGUGAAAUGCGCAGAGUAUACGGGAGGAACACCGGUGGCGAAGGCAGUGG
rnacentral:rRNA from 1 species